rnacentral:rRNA from 1 species
CCAAUAGCGUAUAUUAAAGUUGUUGCAGUUAAAAAGCUCGUAGUUGAAUUUCGGGGUCGACACGUCGGUCGUGCCACUGGUAUGCACUGUCGUCGUCGAUUCCUCCCUUCUGAGGAACCAUGAUGUCAUUAAUUUGGUGUCGUGGGAAAUCAGGACUGUUACUUUGAAAAAAUUAGAGUGUUUAAAGCAGGCAUACGCUUGAAUACAUUAGCAUGGAAUAAUGAAAUAGGACGUUCGAACCUAUUUUGUUGGUUUCUAGGAUCAACGUAAUGAUUAAUAGGGAUAGUUGGGGGCAUUAGUAUUCAAUUGUCAGAGGUGAAAUUCUUGGAUUUAUUGAAGACUAACUACUGCGAAAGCAUUUGCCAAGGAUGUUUUCAUUAAUCAAGAACGAAAGUUAGGGGAUCGAAGACGAUCAGAUACCGUCGUAGUCUUAACCAUAAACUAUGCCGACUAGGGAUCGGAUGAUGUUAAUUUUUUAAUGACUCAUUCGGCGCCUUACG